AUCGAUCCGGAAAUGUCCGCAAGCACGACCAAUGGCGGAUGGACGAGCCGCGGCUCGCGAAAGCGCG
rnacentral:sRNA from 1 species